UGUUCAUCCUCUGUCUAAUAGCGCAGAGCGGAGGGGGCUGUGUCAAGGGUAUAAGGUCGGCUCUGGAUAAACACCCAGGGGUUCUGUACGCCACUUGCAUCUUAAUGCCCUCUCUUUUUUGUACUGAGGCAGGACCCACUGGGCGUGACGCACGGGCGAGUGCGGGUGAGGGUGCAAUAUUUACAUUUACACAGGAUCGAGAGCUCUUCUACCCUUACAAGCGGCCCCUCAUGACGUAAUGUUUGUGGAGAUCAUCAGCUCGUUCAUACACAGCUCGUUUAGUGCACAUAGACAGUGAUGUCACAGUGUCACUGAGUAGUCAAAGUUGGGGGUAAGGAAAGGGAUCACAUUUCGAGAAGGAAGAGUGAAGAAGAGAAGGAUGAGGAGGAAGAGGAGGGGAAAGAAGAGGGUGAAAGAACUAGAUUGAAACAUUUCUCUGUUUUUAAAUAAAUAGAGAACUCUCA
ensembl:lncRNA